rnacentral:lncRNA from 1 species
AGGUUCUCGAUGCUGCUGCCUACUUGGUUUCCCUGCAUCUGCUAUUGCUAAUGCUGGUGUUUCGCAGUUGUUGGUCUAUGUUUUGUACUGGUGUUUUAUUGCUGGGAUAUUGUUGCCUCUGCUGAUGCAGUUUUUUGGGUUUCUGCCUGUUGGCGCUCAUUGGUUUUGUCUACAUUUUUGGGGCUUAGUUUUGCUUGGGUGUUGGUUUAUUGGUUGUGGUUGUUGGCUGGUGUAGUGGUUUGCUGCGGAGCUGUUUCUAUUGUUUGGCUGCUGUGGCCUCUUAGGCUCCAUGGCUUGGCAUGGUUUGACUGUUGUAAUUUUAUAGUUUAGUUUUGCUGCUGCUUGAUUUGUUAUUGUUGUUGUUGCUGUUUUGGCGAGUGGUGGUGUUGUUGCAGCUGGUCUCCUCUUUGGGUGCCUCUGCAGCAGUUGUUGCUUUGCUGCUGCUGUGUUUUACCUUGCGGGCUUUGCUCAAGAGAAUGUACCCUUGGAUUACCUCUGUUGUUGUGUUGCUGCUUCAUGGCUUUGGGAUGUUGUCCUUUUUGCUCGACUCCUUUAACUGUUUCAGGACUUUGAUUUGUAUUUCCAUCUCUGGAUUAAUUUUAGUCUUAUGUUUUUUGAUAGUUUGGAAAAAAAUUAUUGUUUCUAAUUCGGUGUAGCAAUAUGUUAUUUGUGUUUCUGGUAUACCUUUUCCAUCAUCGGGCCUGUCCUGUGAUGACCAUGGUAAUACUUGCUUUGGGGGGUAUGCUCCAUGAAUUUGUAUUUUUCCUUUCUUUUUAUACAACUUAAAUUUAGCAAA